UACGUAGGGUGCAAGCGUUGUCCGGAAUUAUUGGGCGUAAAGAGCUCGUAGGCGGUCUGUCGCGUCGGCUGUGAAAUCCCGGAGCUCAACUCCGGGCCUGCAGUCGAUACGGGCAGACUGGAGUUCGGCAGGGGAGACUGGAAUUCCUGGUGUAGCGGUGAAAUGCGUAGAUAUCGGGAGGAACACCUGUGGCGAAAGCGGCUCACUGGACCAUUACUGACGCUGAUGCUCGAAAGCUAGGGGAGCAAACAGG
rnacentral:rRNA from 1 species